rnacentral:rRNA from 1 species
GUCCACGCAGUAAACGAUGAAUACUAGCUGUAUGCGAUAUAUUGUAUGUGGCAAAGCGAAAGCGUUAAGUAUUCCACCUGGGGAGUACGUUCGCAAGAAUGAAACUCAAAGGAAUUGACGGGGGCCCGCACAAGCGGAGGAACAUGUGGUUUAAUUCGAUGAUACGCGAGGAACCUUACCCGGGCUUGAAAUGCAUCUGACCGACCAGGAAACUGGUUUUCUAGCAAUAGCAGAUGUGUAGGUGCUGCAUGGUUGUCGU